GUGACAGCCGCCGCGGUAAUACGUAGGGUGCGAGCGUUGUCCGGAAUUAUUGGGCGUAAAGGGCUCGUAGGCGGUCUGUCGCGUCGGGAGUGAAAACCCAGGGCUUAACCCUGGGCCUGCUUCCGAUACGGGCAGACUAGAGGUGUGCAGGGGAGAACGGAAUUCCUGGUGUAGCGGUGAAAUGCGCAGAUAUCAGGAGGAACACCAGUGGCGAAGGCGGUUCUCUGGGCAUUACCUGACGCUGAGGAGCGAAAGUGUGGGGAGCGAACAGGAUUAGAUACCCUAGUAGUCC
rnacentral:rRNA from 1 species